UACGGAGGGUGCAAGCGUUAAUCGGAAUUACUGGGCGUAAAGCGCACGCAGGCGGUGUGUCAAGUCGGAUGUGAAAUCCCAGGGCUCAACCUGGGAACUGCAUUGGAAACUGGCAGACUAGAGUCUAGUAGAGGGGGGUAGAAUUCCAGGUGUAGCGGUGAAAUGCGUAGAGAUCUGGAGGAAUACCGGUGGCGAAGGCGGCCCCCUGGACAAAUACUGACGCUAAUGUGCGAAAGCGUGGGGAGCAAACAGG
rnacentral:rRNA from 1 species